rnacentral:rRNA from 1 species
UAGGGAAUCUUCCACAAUGGGCGAAAGACUGAUGGAGCAACGCCGCGUGUGUGAUGAAGGGUUUCGGCUCGUAAAACACUGUUGUAAGAGAAGAAUGACAUUGAGAGUAACUGUUCAAUGUGUGACGGUAUCUUACCAGAAAGGAACGGCUAAAUACGUGCCAG